GACGAACGCUGGCGGCGUGCUUAACACAUGCAAGUCGAACGGAAAGGCCCUGCUUUUGUGGGGUGCUCGAGUGGCGAACGGGUGAGUAACACGUGAGUAACCUGCCCUUGACUUUGGGAUAACUUCAGGAAACUGGGGCUAAUACCGGAUAGGAGCUCCUGCUGCAUGGUGGGGGUUGGAAAGUUUCGGCGGUUGGGGAUGGACUCGCGGCUUAUCAGCUUGUUGGUGGGGUAGUGGCUUACCAAGGCUUUGACGGGUAGCCGGCCUGAGAGGGUGACCGGCCACAUUGGGACUGCGAUACGGCCCAGACUCCUACGGGAGGCAGCAGUGGGGAAUAUUGCACAAUGGGCGGAAGCGUGAUGCAGCAACGCCGCGUGCGGGAUGACGGCCUUCGGGUUGUAAACCGCUUUCGCCUGUGACGAAGCGUGAGUGACGGUAAUGGGUAAAGAAGCACCGGCUAACUACGUG
rnacentral:rRNA from 1 species